CCUUUUGCCAUGACCCAAGAACAGAGAGGGGAGAGGGGGGAGAGAAGAGAAGAGGAGGGAGAUUAGAGCAUGCUGUCGUCCGUCGUCGUUAUUCCUCUCCAAAAAUCGCUUAGGGGCAGACGAAAGUUUGUUGUGACCCUCGCCUCUAGGAAAACAGUGGGGAUUCGUUGUUGGGAUCAUCGCCGUCACCGUUGCCUUCAUUCUUUUCAAGGGGAAACCCUAGGUGGUGAAUCUUUGGACCGUGCUUAGCUCACGUUCUUGAUGAUCGGUGAAGG